ACUAGCCGGUACUCGCGAAUGCUCUCAGAUUNAUAGUUUGAUCAUGGCUCAGAGUGACACGCUGGCGGUAGGCCUAACACAUGCAAGUCGAACGGCAGCACAGGAGAGCUUGCUCUCUGGGUGGCGAGUGGCGGACGGGUGAGGAAUACAUCGGAAUCUACUCUGUCGUGGGGGAUAACGUAGGGAAACUUACGCUAAUACCGCAUACGACCUACGGGUGAAAGCAGGGGAUCUUCGGACCUUGCGCGAUUGAAUGAGCCGAUGUCGGAUUAGCUAGUUGGCGGGGUAAAGGCCCACCAAGGCGACGAUCCGUAGCUGGUCUGAGAGGAUGAUCAGCCACACUGGAACUGAGACACGGUCCAGACUCCUACGGGAGNGCAGCAGUGGGGAAUAUUGGACAAUGGGCUGCAAGCCUGAUCCAGCCAUACCGCGUAGGGUGAAGAAGGCCUUCGGGUUGUAAAGCCCUUUUGUUGGGAAAGAAAUCCAGCCGGCUAAUACCUGGUUGGGA
rnacentral:rRNA from 1 species